rnacentral:rRNA from 1 species
UACGGGGGGGGCAAGCGUUGUUCGGAAUUACUGGGCGUAAAGGGUUCGUAGGUGGCCAACUAAGUCAGACGUGAAAUCCCUCAGCUUAACUGGGGAACUGCGUCUGAGACUGGAUGGCUUGAGUGCAGGAGAGGAACGCGGAAUUCCAGGUGUAGCGGUGAAAUGCGUAGAUAUCUGGAGGAACACCGGUGGCGAAGGCGGCGUUCUGGACUGCUACUGACACUGAGGAACGAAAGCGUGGGUAGCAAACAGG